CCUACGGGCGGCAGCAGUGAGGAAUAUUGGUCAAUGGGCGCAAGCCUGAACCAGCCAAGUCGCGUGAGGGAUGACGGUCCUAUGGAUUGUAAACCUCUUUUGUCGGGGAGCAAGGCCCGCCACGUGUGGCGGGAAGGAGAGUACCCGAAGAAAAAGCAUCGGCUAACUCCGUGCCAGCAGCCGCGGGAAUACGGAGGAUGCGAGCGUUAUCCGGAUUUAUUGGGUUUAAAGGGUGCGUAGGCGGAAGGUUAAGUCAGCGGUAAAAUGUCGGGGCUCAACACCGGCCUGCCGUUGAAACUGGUCUUCUUGAGUGAGCGAGAAGUAUGCGGAAUGCGUGGUGUAGCGGUGAAAUGCAUAGAUAUCACGCAGAACUCCGAUUGCGAAGGCAGCAUACCGGCGCUCAACUGACGCUGAGGCACGAAAGCGUGGGGAUCGAACAGGAUUAGAUACCCUUGUAGUC
rnacentral:rRNA from 1 species